ensembl:lncRNA
UGGGAGUGUGCUACAGGCCACCCAACCAGGAUGAAGAGGUGGGCAAGACACUUUAGACACAGCCGCAGGAGGUCUCAAGGUCUCUCCCCUUGUUCUUGUGGGCUAUUGCAAAGUCCCAGACAUCUGCUGGAUUUAUAAUACAGCAGAUAGGGAACAGUCCCAGAGGUUCCUCGAGUGUGUGGGAGAUCACUUCCUGACACAGCUGGUGAGGCAGCCAGCAAGGGCAAGCAAAAUCCUGCUGUUUGUUCACAGAGAAGGUCUCGUGGGGGAUGUCAAGGCUGGAGGCCGCCUGGGGCAAAGGGAUCGUGAGAUGCUAGAUUUCUCAAUCCUUGUUGAACCACGGAGGGGAGUCAGCAGAACUGCCACCUUGGACUGCCGGAGAGCAAACUUGAACCUCUUUAGGACCAUGGUUGAGAGGGUCCCUUGGGAAGUACUUUUGGAGGGCGUGGGAGCCCAGGAAGGCUGGCAGUACUUUCCAGAAGUAAUUCUAAAGGUGCAGGAGCUGAUUCCACAGAGUAUGGUCUGUGGAAGAGUGGGCAAGCUACUUAUGAUGAUUACAGGAACUCCGCCACAGCAGCAUUUUCCAGUCCGUGGCACCUUGAUCCCAGGAUGUGCUCCGCACCGUGCUUCUAGGGCAUCAACAUCUGCUGCUGCACAAAGGCCCCUGAAAGGAAAAGCACCCUCGCAUUUCCUUUGCGCUGCUCCCACACUCCCCAGAACUGUCUCUCAAAUCUCACAUAACACAGACUCUCUCAGACUCUUGGCUGCAGCCCAAUAGCACAGCAUCCCCUCUCUCACUUCAUGAGCCAAGACGCCAUAGUUUGUGUCCCUUUCUAAGCUUUACUGACACAAUUAGGCAAGAACUUAGGUUUGCCCAUCCUGCAGCCAGGAAUGCUCC